rnacentral:rRNA from 1 species
GGAAGUAAAAGUCGUAACAAGGUUUCCGUAGGUGAACCUGCGGAAGGAUCAUUACCACACCAUUAAAAAACUUUCCACGUGAACCUGUACUAUUUGUUUUGUGCUCUUUCUGUUUCUGACUGUUGCUGGUUUAUCUGGCGACGGAUGGAAGGGAUCGAGCUGAACGAAGGCGUCUUUUUUCUCAUUGAGUUAGAAGAUGCCGAUGUACUUUUCAAACCCCUUUUACCUAAUUACUGAUCAUACUCUGAGAACGAAAGUUCUUAGUUUUAAUAGACAACAACUUUCAGCAGUGGAUGUCUAGGCUCGCACAUCGAUGAAGAACGCUGC